ensembl:lncRNA
GGUUCAAUCCCUGGGUCGGCAAGAUCCCCUGGAGGAGGAAAUGCCAACCCACUCCAGUAUUCUUGCCUGGAGAAUUUCAUGAACAGAGGAGCCUGGUGGUCUACAGCUCAUGGGGUUGCAAACAGUUCUACACGAAUGAGCACACACACAAAGAACCCAAUUAAGAGGGUGGGCUCUAGCUUUUCCUAUUGAAGACAUCCAUCAGAAAGGAAAUGGCCCAAGCAUCUGGAAUAUGUCACCAGUUGGGUUCUCCAGAAGCAGAUGCUAAGAUAGAGCUUUGUGUACAGAUGUUUGCUAGGGAUCAAAACUGUGAAAAAAGGAGGAGGAAGCAGGACAGGUAAGAGGAAGAAGAUUCCCACACAGUUUUCAUCCAGCCUGGUGGGGAAUUCUAAGGGAUAACCAAGAGAAAACGUCCAGAAGGAAAGAGGUGGUUACCUUUUGGUCUGUAAAGAUCCUACCAGAAUGGGAUAUGGAGAGCUUUCUCAUUGGUCUCCCUGCCUUCUUUCCCCCUUCAUUGGACCCUUUAGGCUCCUAGCCUCAGGCUGAGCACACAGUAGGUGUUCAAUGAAUGUGUUUUGGAUGGAGGUACAAAUGAUGACUAACAGCCAAUAUGGGACUCAGGAUGUUGAUUUCUUCGUUGGACACACAGCCUCUGUACGAAUCUUGCUGACUGACUGCAAAGGAAAUGUCACCAACUGUCAGAGACACAGCAACACAUUGCUCAAGCAUAUGUGCCAGGGAAGCCAGAAACUUGUUAUUGUAUGCAUGAGAAAUCACAACCAACACAGCCAAAGAAAUUCUCUUGGAUUCUUCACUGGACUCCAACAAUAUCCCCUGAACCUCAGCAACAUCCUGCAUCUGAGUGCCUGGUCUGGAUGUCUGCUCCUAGCCUCUUCUAUAAAGUCAACUCUUGGUGAACUGCUGAGUCUCAACCUGGAAGGAUAAUCUAGUUAUCCUUUUGUAUUCCUCACCGGGUGCAUGUGACACAUCUGGAUUCCUCCCAUGCCAUCUCUGCCAC